rnacentral:rRNA from 1 species
GACAGAGGGUGCGAACGUUGUUCGGAAUUACUGGGCGUAAAGCGCAUGUAGGCGGCCAAGCAGGUCGGAUGUGAAAUCCCUCGGCUCAACCAAGGAAGUGCAUUCGAAACCGCAUGGCUAGAGUCCCGGAGAGGAACGGUGGAAUUCUCGGUGUAGCGGUGAAAUGCGCAGAUAUCAGGAGGAACACCCGUGGCGAAAGCGGCUCUCUGGGACGGUACUGACGCUGAGACGCGAAAGCGUGGGGAGCAAACAGG